GUGGAUUAGAUACCCUGGUAGUCCACGCCGUAAACGAUGGAUACUAGCUGUUGGUAGCAAUAUCAGUGGCUAAGCGAAAGUGAUAAGUAUCCCACCUGGGGAGUACGAACGCAAGUUUGAAACUCAAAGGAAUUGACGGGGGCCCGCACAAGCGGUGGAGCAUGUGGUUUAAUUCGAUGAUACGCGAGGAACCUUACCAAGGCUUAAAUGUAGAUUGACCGGUUUGGAAACAGACCUUUCGCAAGACAAUUUACAAGGUGCUGCAUGGCUGUCGACAACU
rnacentral:rRNA from 1 species